rnacentral:rRNA from 1 species
AGGACGAACGCUGGCGGCGUGCUUAACACAUGCAAGUCGAGCGGAAAGGCCCUUCGGGGUACUCGAGCGGCGAACGGGUGAGUAACACGUGAGCAACCUGCCCUUAGCUCCGGGAUAGCUCCGGGAAACCGGGAUUAAUACCAGAUACAACCACUUUAGACAUCUUUUGUGGUGGAAAGGAUUCCGGCUAGGGAUGAGCUCGCGGCCUAUCAGCUUGUUGGUUGGGUAACGCCCACCAAGGCGACGACGGUA